UUGAAGCCUAGCGAUAUGUAAGUUAGUGGCGGACGGGUGAGUAACGCGUGGGUAACCUGCCUUGUACUGGGGGACAACAGUUGGAAACGACUGCUAAUACCGCAUAAGCGCACAGUACCGCAUGGUACAGUGUGAAAAACUCCGGUGGUGUGAGAUGGACCCGCAUCUGAUUAGCUAGUUGGUGAGAUAACAGCCCACCAAGGCGACGAUCAGUAGCCGACCUGAGAGGGUGAUCGGCCACAUUGGGACUGAGACACGGCCCAAACUCC
rnacentral:rRNA from 1 species